UGUUAGUCUACCCGGGCUGGCCACUUCAACCGGAUUAACAAGCGUCAUAUUGGCUCAGGAUACUUAAAAUCCUUUGGCAGAAGAAAAAAAACUACUGGUUGGAGCAUUCCGAUGUGCACAGAAAAAACAACCGAGGAAAUACGAGAAAAUAUCGUGUUUUACAUGGGCUGUCGCGAAACGUCGGAUUCUUACUUUUAUCUGUGGCUCUACUACAUCCGAUCAAAAAACUUGGGUGUGCUUGAGUGAUCAGCUAAGAGAACGGCACUGGAUAACAUUUUCCCUAUCAGAAGGUCAGGGAAUCGGAGAUUGCGGUGAGGUCGGUCAGGAACUGAUGCUGAGGCUUCGUCCCCCAACCUUCCAGUAUAGUUCGAACAUUAGUUUCUAGGCGCUGAGUGGUAACAUUUGGGGAACCUUCCGAAUGGAACGUGAGAAUUAGCAUACGUUCAAUUUUCUCAUUCAAUUUUUUUUCUCAUGAUAUUAAACCCGACAAUCCUUACGAAUUUGGAUGAAAUGCA